rnacentral:misc_RNA from 1 species
UCUCCGUAGGUGAACCUGCGGAGGGAUCAUUACUGAGUGAGGGCUUCGGUCCGACCUCCAACCCUUUUGUGAACCACCUCGUUGCUUCGGGGGCGACCCUGCCGCUUCGGCGGUGCGGCGCCCCCGGAGGCCAUUAAACACUGCAUCAUUGCGUCGGAGUUAAAGUAAAUUAAACAAAACUUGCGACAGCGGAUCUCGUGGUUCCAGCAUCGAUGAAGAACGCAGC